GACAGAGGGGGCAAGCGUUGCUCGGAAUCACUGGGCGUAAAGGGCGCGUAGGCGGGAUGGCAAGUCGGUCGUGAAAUCUCUCGGCUCAACCGAGAAACGUCGGCUGAUACUGCCGUUCUUGAGGGAUGCAGAGGAGACUGGAAUUCCCGGUGUAGCGGUGAAAUGUGUAGAGAUCGGGAGGAACACCGGUGGCGAAGGCGGGUCUCUGGGGCAUUUCCUGACGCUGAGGCGCGAAAGCGUGGGGAGCAAACGGG
rnacentral:rRNA from 1 species